AGAAAUGGAACCUGAUGACAAAAGAGUAAAUGGGUUUCCAGCGAGCAUUGCUGAGGAAAAUGCUGCCGAACAUUUAGAUAUGGAAUUUCAUUUUUAUCUAUCAGAUGAUAAGGCAAUUACUAAAGGCGCUGAGAUUGUAAUGAAUGAGCCAUUAAAGUCCACAGAUAUCCCUGGACGGUUAAAUGUACUUGUAAAUUGGUCACCUAAAAUGGUUGAAAAAUACAAUACAAGUCUUUUCAGCUCACUGCCCGAAGUUUUCAAAUCUG
rnacentral:misc_RNA from 1 species